rnacentral:pre_miRNA from 1 species
GAUUUCAUCUGAAAAGGUCAUCAAUAAUAAGGUUGUAUAACUCAUCAAGAUCUAUAAUUUCUAUUUUGGUCAUUUCUUCAUCUGACAAAGUGAUUUGUAAGAUUGUUCACAAAAUGCACAUCUCUUAUAUAAACUAAUGCACAUCUCUUAUAUAGUUUAUAUAAGAGAUGUGCAUUUUGUGAACAAUCUUACAAAUUACUUUAUCGGAUGAAGAAAUUACUAAAAUAGAAGUUAUAGAUCUUGAUGAGUUAUAUAACCUUGUUAUUGAUGACUUUUUCAGUUGAAAUC